ensembl:snRNA U6 U6 spliceosomal RNA
UGUUGCUUCGGCAGCAUGUAUACUGAAAAUGGAACAAAACAAAUUAACAUGAGCCCUGCCCAAGGGUGACAUGUGAAGUCGCGAAAUGAUCCACAUUUAG